rnacentral:misc_RNA from 1 species
UCUGAGAGCAAUCAUUCUGUAGUGAACUUCAUUGAGUACCUCGUGCGUCUAAAUUUACGUUGUUUUGAUUCAAAUUAAAUAAAUUAUUAUAUAGUGUUUGCGAAUUUCCGACAGUAUUAAGUAAAUGUGAGAUGAUGGAUAGAUUUCCUAGAAUAUGGCGUGAUUAAGAAAAACUGAACGCUUUAAUUUGCGAUGGCCUAAGUUAAGGAUAGGCGUUUGCUUGUCAUAUAUUUUAAUUCGUGAACAAUAAAAUAAUAUACACAUCAUAAGUGUAUAACUAUAAAUUUAUUUGCUUAAGUGCAAAGCUAAACAUUUAUAAUAUGAGCAAGAAAUGUGCAGGUAAAAAUUUCGCGAAAAAUAUAAAUGCAAAAAAUUACCACCACAGCAAAACGCCAUUAGUGCCGCUUUUCUAGAGUUGCCAACACCACAAGUUAACCAUUACGAUGAUUUGGAACGCAAAGGUCCCAUGGAACGUAACUAAAUAAAUUUUAUUAUAAACUCAAGCUAAAAUACUUAAAAAAUCUCAAUGAAAAAACUGAGCAAAUAAAGUUUUCUCAGUAAGGAAGCGCAAGCACCCCAUAGUGCAAGAAAGUGUGCAAGACAAGACGGCAAAAGGAAAGAAGGAAGGCGCAGGGUGCUUCAGGGCUAGAAAGCGUAAAGAAGCCUAUAAGUCCAACUUGCUGGACGAACGAUUACAUUAUAAACGUUCCAACACUUGUGAAUCAAUUACUGUGGAAUAAACAAUUUUAGAUGAAAUUUAAUGGUUAAAUCGUGGAAAAAGUGGCGGAGUCUCCGGUUCAAACCAUAGUUAAUCAACAGUGGUAGUGGUGUAAGGUGUGUGCAUCCGGCUUUAAAGUUUAUUCAAUAUACUAAACGGAGUAAUAUCAUACAUUCGCUAGAAAACGACAAGUGGUUCAACUAAAUAAUAAUUUAACAAUAUAUUAUAAAUCUGCACUUCAAAGUUUUUGGUAAGCGGGAAAUUUACAGCACAAUUGAAUCUGCUCUCUACCGCAAAAGCCGCAACAGUAGAGCAAGAGUAACAGCAGCAGUUGUGUGGUGUAGUGCGCAAAAUGUAUCCUGCACCGGUGCGUCAUCCCUCGGCGGGGGGACCACCACCUCAGGGUCCACUAAAAUUUACAAUCGUUGACACACUAGAACGAAUUAAGGAGGAGUUCAACUUUCUGCAGGCACAAUAUCAUACAUUAAAACUGGAGUGCGAAAAACUUGCCAAUGAAAAAACAGAAAUGCAGCGCCAUUAUGUUAUGUACUACGAAAUGUCAUAUGGCCUUAAUGUUGAAAUGCACAAACAGACGGAAAUCGCCAAACGUUUAAAUACCUUGAUAAAUCAGCUGCUACCAUUUCUACAAGCCGAUCAUCAGCAGCAGGUCUUAAAUGCAGUGGAGCGCGCGAAACAAGUUACGAUGCAGGAAUUAAAUCUGAUCAUCGGGCAUCAGCAUCAGGGAAUUCAACAACUUCUACAGCAAAUACACGCACAGCAAGUGCCCGGUGGACCACCGCAGCCAAUGGCUGGUUUAGCGCCACUAGCUGGCCCAUUUGGUGCACUGGGCGCGUCAAUGGGUCUCCCACAUGCACCACAGGGCCUGCUUAAGGCACCAACAGAUCAUCAUCGACCCGAUAUCAAACCAACUGGUCUCGACGGGCCGGCCGGCGCUGAAGAGCGUCUACGGAAUUCAGUGUCCCCAGCUGAUCGUGAGAAAUAUCGCACACGUUCACCAUUGGAUAUUGAAAAUGAUUCGAAGCGUCGAAAAGACGAGAAACUACAAGACGAUGAAGGAGAGAAAAGCGAUCAAGAUUUAGUCGUAGAUGUUGCAAAUGAAAUGGAAUCCCACUCGCCACGUCCGAACGGCGAACACAUGUCGAUGGAAGCGCGUGAUCGUGAAAGUCUGAACGGUGAACGUCUCGAUAAACCGGGCAGCAGCGGUGUCAAACCGCCUAAUGAACGACCUCCAUCACGUUCCGGCUCCAGCUCGUCACGCUCAACUCCCAGCCUAAAAACUAAAGAUAUGGACAAGCCAGGCACACCGGGCGCCAAGGCACGCACUCCCACCCCAAAUGCUGCCGCACCAGCUCCGGGCGUAAAUCCCAAACAGCUGAUGCCACAAGGCGGUCCGCCGCCUGCCGGUUAUCCAGCCUCAGCGUAUCAGCGACCUGCUGACCCCUAUCAGAGGCCACCAUCCGAUCCGGCAUAUGGGCGACCGCCACCACUACCUUACGAUCCGCAUGCGCACGUACGAACAAAUGGCAUUCCACAUCCCCAAGCGUUAACUGGUGGAAAGCCCGCAUAUUCGUUCCACAUGAAUGGCGAAGGCAGCUUACAACCGGUGCCGUUCCCAUCCGACGCACUAGUUGGUGUUGGCAUACCACGACACGCCCGACAAAUAAAUACACUAUCACACGGUGAGGUAGUGUGCGCUGUUACCAUUUCGAAUCCCACGAAGUAUGUGUACACAGGUGGCAAGGGUUGCGUUAAAGUUUGGGACAUCUCACAGCCGAAUAAUAAAAAUCCAGUCAGCCAAUUGGACUGUCUGCAACGUGACAACUACAUACGCUCCGUGAAAUUACUGCCUGACGGUCGUACGUUGAUUGUGGGCGGUGAGGCGUCCAAUCUCUCCAUAUGGGAUUUGGCCAGUCCAACGCCACGCAUUAAAGCCGAAUUGACAUCCGCAGCGCCGGCUUGUUAUGCGCUCGCUAUUAGUCCUGAUUCGAAGGUGUGCUUCUCGUGCUGUAGCGAUGGUAAUAUCGCGGUGUGGGAUUUGCACAAUGAGAUAUUGGUGCGCCAAUUCCAAGGACACACUGACGGCGCCUCAUGCAUCGACAUCAGUCCGGAUGGUUCGCGACUGUGGACCGGUGGUCUUGACAAUACGGUGCGUUCGUGGGAUUUACGCGAAGGCCGCCAAUUGCAACAGCAUGAUUUCAGUUCUCAAAUAUUCUCCCUGGGCUAUUGUCCGACAGGCGAAUGGCUCGCUGUGGGUAUGGAGAACUCACAUGUCGAAGUAUUGCACGCAUCCAAGCCAGACAAAUAUCAACUGCAUCUACACGAAAGCUGUGUACUCUCGUUACGUUUCGCCACCUGUGGCAAAUGGUUUGUCUCCACUGGCAAGGAUAAUCUAUUGAAUGCCUGGCGAACACCAUACGGUGCAAGCAUAUUCCAGUCGAAAGAAACUUCAUCCGUACUUAGCUGCGACAUAUCAACCGAUGACAAAUACAUUGUGACGGGCUCCGGCGACAAAAAAGCAACGGUUUACGAAGUUAUUUACUAAUAAGUUCUAAUUUGUUUAAUUUUGCUAUAAACCUAUAAGAAGAAAUGCUAAGUUUUCUUUUGUGCAAAACAAUUAUAUUACCACCCAGAAGCGAUCAUACAUACCCACACAUACACAUAUACAAUGGCAAAGAAACUGGUGAAAAUAAUAAGUUGCGAAAAUGUGUAAAAUGUAUGAGCGCGCAAACGCGAAUGUCGUGCCGACAGAGCAAUGAAAAAUGAAUAGUUCGCUUUGUAGUAGUGGCUUUUGAUAGGACUCACGAAAAGCUAAGCAAAACAAAAUAAAACAAACACAACACAAGAAAGAAAGAAAGUAAGAAAAAUGCAGAAACAAGAUUGUGCAGAUAGUUUGGGUUAGGAGGGACAAUGAAUAUUCUUAUAAGCGGACGUACAUGGAAAUCAUGUUUAAUGAGAAAAGUAACCAGAAACACGAAAAAGGUUUUAAGUAAUUUUAAGUAAAGUUAAAGAGACAAGAAGAAGAACACAAAACAAAAAAAUUAAUUAAAAACUAAGAAAACGCGCAGCAGGAGUGCAAGAAAUGCAAGAACUUAUUAAAAUAUUAUAAAACCCAAAAAAACACAAAAAAAUCUAUACAACAAAAACACCGUAACUUAAGCAAACGAAAAAUAAAUACAUAACUGCAAAACAUGUGCGGCACAGUAAAGCAGUAAAAGAAAAACGUUUGCUUAUUCAUUGACAAAAAGUGUGCUGGACUACUCGAACGUGUGAACCAUGUGGAUGGGGUAAACAUAAUUUGUUUGUUUUCUGGCUUGUUGACAACUGAUAUAGCUCGUAAACUGUUAACAGUACGCAUGCAUGCCACUUCCAAGGUUAAUAUUAUGUAUGUUUGUAUGUAUGUACGCUUCAAUAACUCGAAAAAUGCUGCUGCAUGAAAAGGCGAAAAAAUCCAAUAACAAACAAUUCUUUCUUAGCACAUAUUUUACUGCAUUAUAUAUUUAUACAAGUGACUAAAAAAAUGUAGUAAACAGAAAAAUUUGUAAAAACAGAAACGAAAAAUUACAAUUAAAACUUGUAAGUUCAGGGAUUUUAUUGAACUGUUAACGAACAUUUAUUACGCAACUUCCGCGUAAAUGCUUAGGAGAAGCAUAAGUUGUCGCCUGUCAUUUCUUAUAUGGCCCGGCUGGUCUUGGCUUGCGAAAAGCGUGCAUGCGUCGCGCCGCUUGUAUCAGCAGUUGCGCUGCGUCGAGUCGCCUUAUCCCUAGACCAAACAAGCAUUCAUCGCCACAUUUCUUUUCUUCUUUGUUUUUUUUGGGGCAGUCGCGUCGUAAUUUCUACGCGUUUAAUUUAGUAACUGUAAUUUUUUUCUAAGCUAAGCAAAUUUCCAAACAUAUUUGUCUAUGUAUUGUUUCUUCCGCCGAAACUACCGCUUUCUUUGGCUACUUUUCGUAAAAGCUCCGCCUCACGCCUCACGCUUCAUGCUUUCUGUUGUUUGUUACGAGUUUUCUUCUUGCUCUUACUUUUCAUUUUUUUGCAACAUUUAAACAUUUUACUUGUAUAUUUUUAAAUAAAAAAAAUUCAAAUGUCAUUUCUUCAUGUAUGUAUGUAAACGCUUAAAUACCUAGUGUUAAUGAUCUAUUAUUAUCAUUUUAUUUUAUUUUAUUUUUUGUCCAUUUUAAGCGCUUUGAUAUUUUAUUUUAUUUUUUAAUUAUAAUUGUCUUACAUAUAUACAUAGUUAUAUAUAUAUUUCUGUGUAGUUUAAGUGCGUACGAUAAUACUGUAUGGAAAAAUGAAUAAAAGAAGAACUUUAAAUUUAAAUUAAUUAAAUUAUAGUAAAGGAACGUCGUUAUAAAAUCGAGAAGUAAAUAACACUUAUGUAGGUGUAUACAUGCGUUUAAUGCGCGCUUUUGCAGAGCAUUAAUCCAAAACAACAACAAAGAAGUGAAAACAGGCAAACGAAUCAACAAAGCAUAGAAGAUGCUUCAUUGGAAAGUAAAUUUUGUGCUUUCAACUCAAUAAUUGCCACAGUGUUGCUCUACUACAACUACAGAAGCAUUUCGCUGCUGCACAAAAUAUUGUAAAUUUCACUCAAACCACAAGACUUUGCAGUAUAACUAGCUUUUCGACUUGAUCAACACGCAGCUGUGUGGCAAUUAAAGUCUAACCCAACGAGCUCAAGCAUUACUUCGGCUACAUACCCGCCCCGUCCACACAGUUAUGCUUGCUUGACUUUCUACCUUUGUUUUUUAUUACUAACAUCCACUCUCUAUACAUGAAACCCCUUGUUAUUUCUCCCCCACAUAGUCCAUUCGGCUUUCUAUCUAUUUUGUAGACUUUCCGAUCUUUUCUAUUUCUCAAUCACUUCCAAAAACUUGCAUAUACUAUGGCAACAAAGAAGUAUACAUAUACACACACUCACGCGCAUACACAUGGAAAUAUAAAAGUAAAUAUAUGUAUAUAUAUGCAUAUAUAUAUAUAAAUAUAAAUACUUAUAUAUAGUAAUUAAAUUUAAAUUCAAACAAAACAUGCAUUAUGUAAUUAAGUAACGAAAAUAAAUUUGGAAUGAAAAUGAAAUGAAAUGAUAAAAGAAAAUGAGCAUGUAAAGCAGCGAGUGCGAAGCGUAAAUUUAACUGAAUAUACAAUAAAUAAAAAGUAUAUAAAUAACUGGAAAAAAGUCAUAUAAUAACCGUUAUAUUCAUAUUUUAGUUGUUAGUUGAUGCAAAGGGUUUAAAAUAUCUAGACCAAAUCGUGUUAGAAAGGCAAUUUGACAUCGCAGAUAACGGCUAUGGUUACUUUAAAGCUCGAGUUCUCAAGUGGCAUAUGUACAAUUGUCACAUUUUUUAUAAAAUUUUAAAGAACACAUUUAAAACUUCACGCUUUUUACUGGUUUGGAUUCAGAAACUAUUAAAUGCGCCUAAAACUGUGCUUAUUCAUAAAUAAUUUACAAAAUGUCUUGUUUCGACUGUUUCACUGAAUUGUAUAACAACGAAGAGGGCAUUAGUGAAAAUACUUGACGUCAAAACAUACAAAUAUGGCAUUUGUUGCUAGGAUAACAGUUUUAGUGUAAAGAAUCACAAUUGCAAACUUCGUGGUGGUCCAUACUUGAAAAAAAUAACAACAGCAUAGAAAAUUAUGCUUCUUUAAGAGAGUCGAAGCUUAAAAUUU